ensembl:lncRNA
GCAUGAUCAGAAGAAUGCCACUGCAGUUACCUAUCCGGAUAUCAGAGAGGUCCAGAUUUCAUACAGUCAGAAUCAUUCGAGUUGGAAAGGACCCUUAAAGGCCAUCUGUCCCACUCCCUGCACAGAACAGGGAUACCCACAGCUCCAUCAGUGCUCACAGCCCAUCCAGCCUGACCUUGGCUGUCUGCAGGGAUGGGGCACCCACCACUCUCUGUGCAACCUGUGCCAGUGCCUCACCACCCUUAUUUUAAACAAGUUCUUCCUUAUAUCCAGUCCAAAUCUCCCCUAAAUUUCCCACAGCACGGACAUCUCAGACAACAGCAGUGCCAGGCUCCCUCUACCUCACCCCACCAUGGCCACUGCAUUGGAAGGAGGUCAUCACAGGGAGAUGAAUUCCUUACUGUCAUCCUUACAUCUGCUUAGGGAUCCUGCAGAUUUGAUCAAGAUCAGCUCAAGUCCUCCUCCUGGUUGUCAGACCUUUCAGCCCGUGGCCUUAAUGGAGCUUUUGGACUUCAUCUGGCUGCUGGCAGCUCUCCCCACGAAGAUGGGGAGCUCUCAGAAUGGCAGGAAGAGCUCAAGAAACAUAUUUUCCAAGGAACAUAUUCAGAGAAAGCCACUCCUACAAUUCUUGUGCAGUAGGAAAACUGCACAUUGGCAGUGAAAUAUACAGGACUGAGUGAAAGCUACCUUUAAAGAAAAACAACAACAAAAAGGAAGCAAAUGUGUAAUACAGAGAGGAUGAGUCCGUUCUGAGGAGGCGUGGUGUUAUAUCGCACAGCCUUCCUGUUUGGUUAUGAGCUGCCACCCCAGCAGGACCAGCACUGCAGGAACACCGGUGCAAAAGCUGAAGGAAACAUUUCCUGGAUUACUCUGAAGUUUUCCAGUGGAAAUUCUCACUCUGGUUUCCCCAUCGCCUCAAUCUGCUGAGCCCCAAACCCCCCCUCGAGCAGAAGCGCCGUGACCACGGAUAGGGCUGUGCCCUCAAAAUGGGAGGAGAUCUCACUGCUCCUACAGGCAUUUACCCGACUGGCUGGGAGAAUGCUUCUCUGGUUUGUGUGGCCUGGUUCGACAUGACAGAAGAAGAGCCAGGAAGUUUUAUAAAGGCAAAGAAAUUGAGCCUUUGCCCUUCACCUACCGUCAGUGAGGCAUCUCAACAAACAGCCGAGCAUCCAAAGUCUGAAGUCCUACCUGGAAGACGUGAUCUGCAGG